rnacentral:rRNA from 1 species
UACGUAGGGGGCAAGCGUUGUCCGGAAUCAUUGGGCGUAAAGCGCGUGUAGGCGGCUCGAUAAGUCUGCUGUGAAAGUCCAGGCUCAACCCUGGGAUGCCGGUGGAUACUGUCGAGCUCGAGUCCGGAAGAGGCGAGUGGAAUUCCUGGUGUAGCGGUGAAAUGCGCAGAUAUCAGGAGGAACACCAAUGGCGAAGGCAGAUCUCUGGGCCGUAACUGACGCUGAGGAGCGAAAGCGUGGGGAGCGAACAGG